GACGAACCACACGAACGUUAUUCGGAAUUACUGGGCUUAAAGGGUGCGUAGGCUGUGCGGCAAGUUAGGUGUGAAAUCCCCCGGCUCAACCGGGGAAUUGCGCUUAAAACUACCGUGCUAGAGGAAUACAGAGGUGAGCGGAACUUCGGGUGGAGCGGUGAAAUGCGUUGAUAUCCGAAGGAACACCGGUGGCGAAAGCGGCUCACUGGGUAUUUUCUGACGCUGAUGCACGAAAGCUAGGGGAGCGAACCGG
rnacentral:rRNA from 1 species